rnacentral:rRNA from 1 species
UGAGCAAUCUGCCCUUCUCAUCGGAAUAAGCGUUGGAAACGACGUCUAAUGCCGAAUACGACCUCCUUUCGCAUGAUCGGAGGUGGAAAGCUCCGGCGGAGAAGGAUGAGUCGCGGCG